ensembl:lncRNA
GUAGCAGAGGUUAGACAUUAGGGGUCACGCAAACAUAUCAGAAAGUGGGUGGACAGCGAUGCCACAUCCUGUUUGAUUCAAGAGUGAUUCCCAAGACCUUUGUGCUGUCAUGGUAACCUCUGUUGGGGUUAAAGGUCAGAAGUUCUCUAUACUCUCACAAAGAGUAUAUUACGUACCUUUCAAAGAAAAAGGAUGUGCUUAACUGAUUCAGCAGUGCUCUUCCAGAGUUUUAGUCCUCCUCAAAGUCCAGCCAAAAGGGAUUAUGGGCUUUUUCUCUAAAGAGUGUGUUGAUUUCCCAGUUACUAUCGCGCAGUAGGAGGGGUAUGAAAUGAAACCCACUAAAUCCUGUUUUCUUUCUCAGUGUAUGGCCUUAAUCCAAGACCUGCUGAAAGAAAUCCAGGAACUCAAAGAGUCCAGAGACGAUCUGAGACAGGAAGUUAACGCUCUGAACGGUCAGCUCAGCCAGCUGAACAUGAAAGAGUUGGCGGACCGUAUCAUUGCUGUGGAGCAGUAUUGCCACCAAGUGGAAGAUCUGGACCACAUUACAGUAAGUAUUGCUGUUAAAGGACUAGUUCAACCAAACAUUAGACUAUUUACUUACUAUUAUUUUAUGUAUUUUCUCUUUCUCAGAAAGAGCUGAAGGACAAGAUGGCCCAGUACCCUGUUCCAGAGGAGCUCACGCAGUGUGUCACAUGGAAAGUGAUGCAGGCUGCGCUCAUCAGCGAGAGGCAGAAGAUUCAGGAGGGGCUGCCGGACACCCUCUCCGCCGCUAAAAACAUUGCACCCGUUCACCCUUUGAACCUGGGUACCCCGUUCAAAGACGACAGAGCAGGUACAGCUGGCACAGCUGGUGUAGAUCUCUCUCGGCGGAUUUCUCCUCCCCAGCAGUCCCAGUCUGACGGCGCUCUGUGCACUGUGACGGGCCGCCGACUGUCCCGGGUCAGCAUUGGGGCCGAGCGCUACCCGGAGACCAUAGAGGCUCUGAUGGAGGUGGGCGGACUGAGAGACAAGCACGAGAGUCUGGAGGCCCGUGUGGGACAGCUGGAGGCAAACAAGGCUGAUCAGACCCAGCUUCAACAUCUGUGUGAUCUUUUCACUGCCAUGGGUACGACACAGACAGCAACAUGCUUUAUAUGCAUUAUGUCUGUUAUUCAGUAA